UACCAGCUCUCCGAGUGGUGGGGAUGCUUAUUGGGCCUAAAGCAUUCGUAGCCUGCUUGACAAGUCCUCCGUUAAAUCCAACGAUUCAAUCGUUGGGCUGCGGGGGAUACUGUCCGGCUAGGGGGCGGGAGAGGCCGACGGUAUCCUCGGGGUAGGGGUGAAAUCCUAUAAUCCCGGGAGGACCACCAGUGGCGAAGGCUGUCGGCUAGAACGCGCUCGACGGUGAGGGAUGAAAGCUGGGGGAGCGAACCGGAUUAGAUACCCGGGUAGUCCCAGCUGUAAACGAUGCAGGCUAGGUGUUGGCGCGGCUACGUGCCGCUCCAGUGCCGCAGGGAAGCCGUUAAGCCUGCCGCCUGGGAAGUACGGCCGCAAGGCUUAAACUUAAAGGAAUUGGCGGGGGAGCACCACAAGGUGUGAAGCUUGCGGUUU
rnacentral:rRNA from 1 species